CCCGCGCCGCCCCCGCGCCGCCCCGAGCCCCCACCUCCCGAGCGGCCGGCCCGCCGGCGGGCCCUCCGCAAACUUUGGCUCAUCCCUUGAAUUGACCUCGGCGGGGGGGAGGGUCGGGAAGACCUUCCGGGCCCCCCCCCCGUCGAACCCCGCCCCCGGCCCCCCCCCGCUGCGGCCUUGACCCGACCCCCCCUCCCCCCCCCGGCCGACCCCCGGGGGGUCCGGGGGACCCCGGGGGCCCGUCCCGGUUCCCGUUGGGUCCUUCCGUGCCCGCACCCCCGUGCUGCCCUAAGGGGGACCGAGGGAGAGGUUGGCACCGUCGGGGGGGGGGGGGGGCGCCCCUUUGCCCCCCCCCUUUGGGUGACCCGUCCGUCCCCCCUCGGCGACCCGUCCGUCUCCCCUCGAUGACCCGUCCGUUUUCCCCGAGUGACCCGCUGCUCUCCGUCCCCGUCCAGGUACCGGUUCCGGCGGACGCCGCCCGGCCGGCCGAGGAGCCCCCCCCCCCCCCGUCCGGCGCCGGGGAGGCCGGGGGGUCCGGCCCCUCCAGGAUGGUCCCUUCCCGGGGGGCGGCCGGAGCGGGGGUCCGGCGGCCGGCCGGCCGGCCCCUGCCCCGCCGCGGCGCCCCGGCUCGGAGGUGAAGACGGCGACGACGGCUUGGGCGGCGGCGGCUCGGCGCCGCCCGGCCGGCCGGACCCCCGGGCGCCCGGCCCGCUCCCCCGGCCCCGAGAGACCCCCCCGCCGCCAUGAGCCAGGGCCGGGAGCCGGCGGGGGCGGCCGGCGGCCCCCGGGGGCCCGGGGGUCCCCGGCGGGGGCGACGGGCGCAAGAAGCGGAAGCGGUGCGGGCUGUGCGGGCCCUGCCGCCGGCCCCAGAACUGCGGAGCCUGCACCAGCUGCACCAACCGCCGGACGCAUCAGAUCUGCAAGCUGCGCAAGUGCCAGCUGCUCAAGAAGAGGGCCGGCGGACCCGCGCAGACCGCGAGCUCGUCGUGGGCGGGGAGCGUCGCCGUCGGCGGUCGCGGCGUCGUCCCCUAAGCGCCCGGCCCUCGGGGAGCGCUCGGCCGAUGGGGUCGGAAGAACGCACGGGGGCGGACGGAGCCGAGGUUCGGGGCGCCGAGCCCCGGGGGGGGAGCCGGGGCCCCGGCGGCGUCUCUGCGGGCCGGGGAGUCAGAGGCCGUGGGUUCGAAGCCCGCCGCCUCCGCCGCCUCCGCCGCCCGCCUGCCGUGGGACCUCGGGCAAGGCCCUCCACGUCCGGAGCAGCGGCGUGGCUCAGCUGGGAGGAGCCCGGGCCGGGGAGUCGGAGGUCACGGGUGCGGAUCCCGGCCCCCGCCGCCCGGCAGCUGGGUGACGGCGGGCGGGUCGCUUCACGCCCCCGGGGCCUCAGUUCCCUCAUCUGUCAGAUGGGGAUGGCGACCGUGAGCCCCCCGGGGCACGGCCCGAUUCCCCCGUGGCGCCCCCAGCGCUCGGAACGGCGCUCGGCACGUAGUAAGCGCCUAACGAAUACCGACAUUAUCAUCCCAGUUACGAUUGCGUGCCCCUGCCCUCCCCCGCUUCCACGACGGGCGUCGGGCGUCGGGCGUCGGGCGUCGAGCGUCGAGCUGGGGCCGGGCCGGGCCGCGGUCGCCUCUGCCCGCGGGAAACGGCGCAGGCGCCGUGUCCGCGGGCGCACG
rnacentral:lncRNA from 1 species